rnacentral:rRNA from 1 species
UACAGAGGGUGCGAGCGUUGUUCGGAAUUAUUGGGCGUAAAGGGCGCGUAGGCGGUGCCACAAGUCACUUGUGAAAUCCCCGGGCCUAACUCGGGGCCUGCAGGCGAAACUGUGGUGCUGGAGUAUGGGAGAGGUGCGUGGAAUUCCCGGUGUAGCGGUGAAAUGCGUAGAUAUCGUAAGGAAGACCAGUGGCGAAGGCGGGUCUCUGGACAGUUCCUGACGCUGAGGCACGAAGGCCAGGGGAGCAAACGGG